GACGAACGCUGGCGGCGUGCUUAACACAUGCAAGUCAAACGGAAAGGCCCUGCUUUUGUGGGGUGCUCGAGUGGCGAACGGGUGAGUAACACGUGAGUAACCUGCCCUUGACUUUGGGAUAACUUCAGGAAACUGGGGCUAAUACCGGAUAGGAGCUCCUGCUGCAUGGUGGGGGUUGGAAAGUUUCGGCGGUUGGGGAUGGACUCGCGGCUUAUCAGCUUGUUGGUGGGGUAGUGGCUUACCAAGGCUUUGACGGGUGGCCGGCCUGAGAGGGUGACCGGCCACAUUGGGACUGAGAUACGGCCCAGACUCCUACGGGAGGCAGCAGUGGGGAAUAUUGCACAAUGGGCGGAAGCCUGAUGCAGCAACGCCGCGUGCGGGAUGACGGCCUUCGGGUUGUAAACCGCUUUCGCCUGUGACGAAGCGUGAGUGACGGUAAUGGGUAAAGAAGCACCGGCUAACUACGUG
rnacentral:rRNA from 1 species